rnacentral:rRNA from 1 species
AUUGAACGCUAGCGGGAUGCUUUACACAUGCAAGUCGAACGGAGGGGCGGACGGGUGAGUAAUAUAUCGGAACGCGCCCAGUAGCGGGGGAUCACUACGCGAAAGAGGGGCUAACACCGUCUACAUUUGGAGCGCCCAGUAUCGGAUUGGCUAGUUGGUGGGGUAAAGGCUCACCAAGGCAACGAUCCGUAGCUGGUUGGAGAGGACGACCAGCCACACUGGAACUGAGACACGGCCCAGACUCCUACGGGAGGCAGCAGUGGGGAAUAUUGGACAAUGGGGGAAACCCUGAUCCAGCCAUCCCGCGUGUAUGAUGAAGGCCUUCGGGUUGUAAAGUACUUUUGGCAGAGAAGCGGUAUCUGCAGAAUAAGCACCGGCUAACUACGUGCCAGCAGCCGCGGUAAUAC